AUCUACUGCCACACCACUGUAAACACACUAUCUCAUCUGAUCUCACAAGCUAAGCAGGGUUAGGCUUGGUUAGUAUUGGGAAGGGAGAAAUGAAUGCAGAACAGU
rnacentral:rRNA from 1 species